GCCGGAGUGGCGGAAUGGCAGACGCGAAGGAUUCAAAAUCCUUUGCCCGUAAGGGCGUGUGGGUUCAAGUCCCACCUCCGGUA
rnacentral:tRNA from 1 species